rnacentral:rRNA from 1 species
GCAACGCGAAGAACCUUACCAGGCCUUGACAUGCAGAGAACUUUCCAGAGAUGGAUUGGUGCCUUCGGGAACUCUGACACAGGUGCUGCAUGGCUGUCGUCAGCUCGUGUCGUGAGAUGUUGGGUUAAGUCCCGCAACGAGCGCAACCCUUGCCUUUAGUUGCCAGCAGUUCGGCUGGGCACUCUAAAGGGACUGCCGGUGUUAAACCGGAGGAAGGUGGGGAUGACGUCAAGUCCUCAUGGCCUUUAUGACCAGGGCUACACACGUACUACAAUGGUCGGUACAAAGGGUUGCCAAGCCGCGAGGUGGAGCUAAUCCCAUAAAACCGAUCGUAGUCCGGAUCGCAGUCUGCAACUCGACUGCGUGAAGUCGGAAUCGCUAGUAAUCGUGAAUCAGAAUGUCACGGUGAAUACGUUCCCGGGCCUU